rnacentral:rRNA from 1 species
CCGGGCGACCGGCGGCACGGGUGAGUAACACGUAUGGAACCUGCCCGCAGCAGGGGGAUAAGCGGAAGAAAUUCCGUCUAAUACCGCGUAACAACGUUGGGAGGCAUCUCCCGAUGUUUAAAGAUUUAUCGGCUGCGGAUGGCCAUGCGGCGCAUUAGCUAGUCGGCGGGGUAACGGCCCACCGAGGCGACGAUGCGUAGGGGUUCUGAGAGGAAGGUCCCCCACACUGGUACUGAGACACGGACCAGACUCCUACGGGAGGCAGCAG